CUGAUACCUUGCCUCACAAGGACAUCCAUGGUUAACAGUGAUUUAUCCUGGCUCUCUGGUGAACUUACUAGGCAAGGAGCAUCAGUCUAAGUAACAGGUGGUUAUUAAUGUUGCUCUUAACUAAUGACAAUGUUUCUGGCUACCCAGG
rfam:Otolemur garnettii contig189636, whole genome shotgun sequence.